rnacentral:tRNA from 2 species
GGAGGGGUGGCAGAGAGGUCGAUCGCGCCUGUCUUGAAAACAGGAGUCUGUAAAAGGACCGUGGGUUCGAAUCCCACCCCCUCCG